GACGAACGCUGGCGGCGUGCUUAACACAUGCAAGUCGAACGGAAAGGCCCUGCUUUUGUGGGGUGCUCGAGUGGCGAACGGGUGAGUAACACGUGAGUAACCUGCCCUUGACUUUGGGAUAACUUCAGGAAACUGGGGCUAAUACCGGAUAGGAGCUCCUGCUGCAUGGUGGGGGUUGGAAAGUUUCGGCGGUUGGGGAUGGACUCGCGGCUUAUCAGCUUGUUGGUGGGGUAGUGGCUUACCAAGGCUUUGACGGGUAGCCGGCCUGAGAGGGUGACCGGCCACAUUGGGACUGAGAUACGGCCCAGACUCCUACGGGAGGCAGCAGUGGGGAAUAUUGCACAAUGGGCGGAAGCCUGAUGCAGCAACGCCGCGUGCGGGAUGACGGCCUUCGGGUUGUAAACCGCUUUCGCCUGUGACGGAGCGUGGGUGACGGUAAUGGGUAAAGAAGCACCGGCUAACUACGUG
rnacentral:rRNA from 1 species